UUGGAGUCAUUAUACUUGCGGUUUCUAUUUCAUGGGACAUUGUGAGAAUCAAAAGAAGUGUAUGUAAUGUACUAUUUAAAAGUAAACAAUUGGGACUGCAUGAUAUUUGAAAUCAAGGAGCAACAGGAAAAUAGUGUUGGUGAGACAGAGAGCAGAGGAGAAGGGCUUAGCUCAGUUACCAUGGGCUCCCCUGUUUCCGCACAAGGGAGAACUAGCAUCUGUGCCCUGUGUUUCAGAGGCUAUCAUUCAGUGGGACACUGUUGUCUUGAAAGGAAGCCAUUUGAGAAAGUCUGAGCAGGCUGGCCUCCAUCGGUUUGUCUGAUAGCACACAGGACUCUGGUGCAAGGUCAGCAUUUGUCAGACCUCAGGGUUACAGCCAACCCCACUGUCUAAAGGAGAGAAAUGCUGCACCAUCCAAUCCAAGAGGCUUCCUGAACUGAAGAACCUCAGCAAGAAUAACAAUGGAGGGAAGAUGACAUCCCCCUGAAUUGUGCAGGAAGGCUUGUCUGGGAAAGAUAAUACUACAGACUGCAAAGUUAAGUUUAUUCAACAGCAAUCAUUUAUUAAACACCUCCUGUGUACCAGACACUACAAUAGGCAUUGAGGAAACAAGUACAAAGCCAAAAAAAAAAAAGAGAGAGAGAGAGAGAAAGAGAGAGACAGAGAGAGACAGGCAGAGACAGAGACAGACAGAGAAAGACAGAGACAGAGACAGAAAAAGAGACAGAGGGAGAGGGUAGGAGAGGAAGGCAGGAAGGAAGGCAGGAAGGAAGGCAGGAAGGAAGGAAGGCAGGAAGGAAGGAAGGAAGGAAGGAAGGAAGGAAGGAAGGAAGGAAGGAAAGAAGGAAGGAAAACUCUGUACCCUCCAGGAACUUUUAUUCCAUUGGAGGAAGAACAAGACAUACAGAGAUAAGUAAAUGGAAAAUAUGUAAACAGGUCCUUCAAAGAUUGGAACUGUCUGGGAAUGUGGAAAAGGGAAGAAGGGGAGAAAAAAGCUCAGAGCAAGUUCAAUUCAAUUCAGCAAAUAGUUAUUAAAUGCCUAAAAUGUGCAGAGCCCUAGACAAUUCUAAGAUUGCAAAUUAUAGACCAUUUAUUUGCUAAGCUCCUUCACUGGAUGGAUUUACUGAAAAUACCAAUAAUAUAAGUUUGGACCAAAAGAAGGAAAAUAAAUAUGUUUUAUACUAUUCUGGGCUCAUAGAAACAAAAAAUGACACAUUGGCUACCUUCAAGGAGCUGAAAAGGGGAGAUACAUAAGUAUAUGUAGGCAAAUUGGUUGCCUACAGUGAAUGUGAGAUUUGGAGUCAGGAUAACCUGAGUUCAAAUUCUGUCUCUGAAAUUUACUAAUUAUGUAGCACUGGGGAAAUCACUUUAUCCUGGGACCUCAUUCUUCUCAUCUAUGAAUUGGGGGUAAUAAAGAGGGUUUUUUUGGAAGGUUAAAUGAAAUAAAAUUUGUACUUUUCAAAUAUUAAAGCAUUAUAUAAAUGCUAUCUAAUGUCAUUAUCAUAAAUACAUAUUUUAUGUCAACACUGUAAGAUGGAAAAAGUAUUUAUUAGAUUUUUAACCAAAAGGUAUGUGUUCAAAUUUUCACUUUGCUAAAUGCUACCUAUGUGACCUCACUUUUCUCUUCUGCAAUAUGAGAGGAUUGGAUUUCCUAAAGUCCAUUUCAGCAAAAUCUGUGAUGCAAUAUGAAUUUCAGACUCUUGAGAAGUCAACUGAAUGAAUAAGGAGAAUGAAUCAAUGAGAUCUAGUUGGGGGGUAAGAAUGAAGGGGAGAGAGUUCACUAUUCACAACCUGCAAUCAUAAUCAAGUAGAGGAAGGAAGGAAGGGAGGAAGGAAGGGAGGAAGGAAGGAAGGAAGGAAGGAAGGAAGGAAGGAAGGAAGGAAGGAA